rnacentral:rRNA from 1 species
AAUCAACGCUGGCGGCGUGCCUCAGACAUGCAAGUCGAACGAUUAAAGCUCUCUUCGGAGAGUGUAUAGAGUGGCGCACGGGUGAGUAACACGUAAGUAAUCUACCUUCGAGUGGGGAAUAACGUCCGGAAACGGACGCUAAUACCGCAUAAUGCAGCGGCAUCGCAAGAUGACAGUUGUUAAAGAUUUAUCGCUUGAAGAGGAGCUUGCGGCAGAUUAGCUAGUUGGUAAGGUAACGG